rnacentral:rRNA from 1 species
GAUGAACGCUAGCGGCAGGCCUAAUACAUGCAAGUCGAACGGUAACAUGAGUAGCAAUACUUGAUGACGAGUGGCGCACGGGUGCGUAACGCGUAUGCAAUCUACCUUUAACCGGUGAAUAGCCCGAAGAAAUUCGGAUUAAUACACCAUAGUAUGAUGAGGAGGCAUCUCCUUAUCAUUAAAGUUCCGACAGUUAAAGAUGAGCAUGCGUGACAUUAGCUAGUUGGUGAGGUAACGGCUCACCAAGGCCACGAUGUCUAGGGGAUCUGAGAGGAUUAACCCCCACACUGGUACUGAGACAGGGACCAGACUCCUACGGGAGGCAGCAGUAAGGAAUAUUGGACAAUGGUGGCAACACUGAUCCAGCCAUGCCGCGUGAAGGGUGAAGGCCCUAUGGGUUGUAAACUUCUUUCGUACGGGAAAAAACCUUCUUACGUGUAAGAAGCUGAUUGUACUGUAAGAAUAAGGAUCGGCUAACUCCGUGCCAGCA